rnacentral:pre_miRNA from 1 species
CUACUACUCCCUCUGUUUGAAAUUACUUGUCAUAAAAAUGAAUGUAUUUAUAACUAAAAUACAUCUAGAUACAUUCAUUUCUUCGAUGAGUAAUUCCGAACGGAGGGAGUACUAC